CGGACCUACGGGGGGCAGCAGUCGGGAAUAUUGCGCAAUGGAGGAAACUCUGACGCAGUGACGCCGCGUAUAGGAAGAAGGUUUUCGGAUUGUAAACUAUUGUCGUGAGGGAAGAAAAUGACGGUACCUGACUAAGAAGCCCCGGCUAACUACGUGCCAGCAGCCGCGGUAAUACGUAGGGGGCAAGCGUUAUCCGGAUUUACUGGGUGUAAAGGGAGCGUAGACGGCUUGGCAAGCCAGAUGUGAAAGGCUGGGGCUCAACCCCAGGACUGCAUUUGGAACUGUCAUGCUAGAGUGUCGGAGAG
rnacentral:rRNA from 1 species